rnacentral:lncRNA from 1 species
UUUAUUUUUGUGUUUAUUAAAUUGUUUGACAUCGUCAAUAUUUCUCUUAUCAGCUAUUAUUAAAAUUUUCAUAUCUGACAUUUUAUAAUCUGUAUGAUCUCUGUGAUUAAAUUUUUUCAGUCUGAUAGAUAUAUAUAGAAAUUUAUAUACAAUAUUGUAUUUGUUGGUUUAUAAGUCAGGGCAAUUUUUAAGACUUUUAAGGAAAAACUAUGUCUUAGAAGCUGAAAGUAAUAAUAUAACACAUACAAAAUAGAAAUAGUCAAGUAUAUAAAUGGAUACUGAAAUCAUGACAUGAUGCUAAAAUUGCAAUUGUGAUCAAGACUUAAAAAUGUAGCAUAAGCAAUACAAUGGAUAUACUGAAUAUCAUUUAUUUUGAGAGUGACAGCAGAACUAGUGAAAUGGAUGAUGACAAUUAUGACAAAAUUGAGGAUAAUGAUCAUCAUGUCAGUAAUAAAUUUGAAGUUGAUAAUAUUAAAAUAAUAAGAAUAAUAAUCCUAUAUUAUCCUUUAUUAAUUAUUUUGGAUUUAUUUUUAAGAAUAAAUUUUUUAAAAGUAGUUUUCUUAAAUUUGUCUUUCCAAAAUUAGGAUGUAUCUUCCAUGCUUCAGUGUUGUAUAAGCCAAUGGUAUAUAAUGCAUAUAGAAAUUAUACAUAUAUAUGUGUGUAUAAUUUCUGCAUUCAUUAUAUGAAUGUUGUUCGUUUUUAUAAAAAAUAUCACUAUUGUAGACUGAAUCUAAAAUCCAUCAUCACUCUUGAAUUGAAUGAAACAGUUGAAUGAAGAAGUGUAAUGUACUUAUGUUUCUUUCAUUGGUAUAAUGCAAUUUGUCAAUAGCGUGGUUAAUUUGUUCCAAGAUCCUUGACUUAAGCCAUAAAACAACUUAAGUCAAAUAAAUUCUUUAAAAAAUUAUAAGAAUUUAUAGAAUGUUUAUUAGACAUUCUAUAAAUUCUUAUAAAUAAUCCCAUAAUGCUACUAAUAACAUUUAUAAGCUUUUAAAGAAUUCUAUAAAUUAUUUUGCAUAUUUUAACAUUCAUUUUUAUGUGAUUUGCCUUUUUGUUGGUUUUUAGA